rnacentral:rRNA from 1 species
UCCUGGCUCAGAACGAACGCUGGCGGCAGGCCUAACACAUGCAAGUCGAACGCGUCCUUCGGGACGAGUGGCAGACGGGUGAGUAACGCGUGGGAAGUACCCCUUUGGUUCGGAACAACAGCGGGAAACUGCUGCUAAUACCGGAUAAGCCCUUCGGGGGAAAGAUUUAUCGCCAGAGGAUCGGCCCGCGUUAGAUUAGCUUGUUGGUGAGGUAAUGGCUCACCAAGGCUACGAUCUAUAGCUGGUCUGAGAAGAUGAUCAGCCACACUGGGACUGAGACACGGCCCAGACUCUUACGGGAGGCAGCAGUGGGGAAUCUUGGACAAUGGGCGAAAGCCUGAUCCAGCCAUGCCGCGUGAAUGAUGAAGGCCCUAGGGUUGUAAAAUUCUUUCGACGGGAAGAUAAUGACGGUACCCGUAGAAGAAGCUCCGGCUAACUUCGUG